UGUUCAAAACCAGACCUCCGUGGUGGUCGAACUCAGAAAAGUUCUUAGCUGCUGCAGCGGCUCAUUUAAGCUGCAGCGCGUUAGGGAUGCAAGAUAAAAGCUAUUGAGAAAGGGACUACGGUAGAGCUAAUGAUGAUGAAGGUAAUCAAGAUUUUAAUGAUGAUUGCGCCUAGCUUCUCUGGCUGAUGCACCCGGCCAAACGCGGAUCGCCCUGUCACCUCUGCGCCGUUUGUGCCAAGGAGCCCGCGCAGAGCGAUCCUAAGCACGUUUCCGCUCCAAAAAGACGCAGAGGAAAUUCGGCUCCAUUAGAUACGGCUACGAAGGAGAACUGAGUUUCAAAAGUUUGCCGCGUGGAUGCACUGCCCUCCGUUUUCCUAUAUUUCCACCCUUGCCUGUGACUGAAGAAUGCGGACCUGCCACUGAUCCUGCUGUUAGCAUCAGGCAUGCGUUGGCGCUCGGAGAUGUCUUGACGGAGGACAUCUAAGUGUGAAGAGCUGUUGUGUGUAGGCUUCCAUACAACUGGGACCCCCAUAAGUCAACAGCAGCCAAGUAAGAAUCAUAUAAACAUUUACAUUUAAGAGCGAGAUUCACUGAUAGUGUAUCUUCAACAGAUCUUUCAAAAUUAUAUCAACGCAAUUGUAAUGUUGUUAUGUUGGAUUGUAAGCCAGGGUUAGCCAAUGAGGUGGCCUCUGGAUGUUGUUGGGCCAGAGCUCCCAACAUCAUUGUUGGGCCAGAGCUCCCUAAUCAUUGGCCAUCUGGUCACUUCUCUUCUUUUAGUUCUUCUCUUUGCGCUUUUAGUUGAGCUAUGUCAGAAACCUAACCAAAUGACUCAUAGAAUUUUGGGAUAUGCUUCUCUCUCUCUCUCUCCCUCUCCCUCUCCCUCUCCCUCUCCCCCCCUCUCUCUCUCUCUCUCUCUCUCUCUCUCUCUCCUUCUGAUUACAAAGAAGGGCCCACAAGUAUAGCAAAACCAUAACAGGGGAUGUUUUCAACAUUGCUGCCUUUCUUAAUCACUCCUUAGCUUUUGUAAAUAAUCUGCGCAAGUACAUCCGCAGGACGUCACAGGGACACCAAUGAGUAAUUGGCAGUUCAACAGUGAAAACCAUGAGACCAUGAACAUUUUAUAUGAAUUUUCUCAUCAUCACAGGCCUUUCUUCCUAUUCCUUGGAAUUCAUCGGAAACAAAUGUUUUGAAUUGUAGCUGCUUAAUGCCAGACACUUAUUAAUUCUAUUUAUUUACUUUUUAAAAAAUUCCAUAUCCUGAAGAAGCGUUUACUCAACGAGGCAGGUUUAAAAAUAUAUUUAUAUAGUAACUAAUAUACUUAACCAGAUUUUUUCUGCCUUCCCUUUGAUGAAUUUUCGCUUGCACUUUCUGAAAGACUUCCCCUGCCCCCCAGGAUUUCAACGAUCAUUUUUGUUAUUUGCUUUUCCUGUUCAAUGUUUUGCAGAGAAAAAUAAAAUAAAACUUGUUGCGUUUAUCACAUGCCACAUUUUCUUACAAUGGAUGUGUGAGAGAUAUGACUAAUUCAGAUUUAAUGGUUUUGAUGUGUGAUCAAAGAAAAAAGAGAGGACAACUGGGU